CUUCACAGGAUUUAUCAAAGGGUUGUGUGUUAAGCCCACAGCUGUUCAUCAUAUUUAUUAAUAAGUUGUUUUCCUUAAUGGAACAGGAAGGUGGUAUAGGUGUUAAUGUUUCACCUGGUUUUAACAAUUUGUGUUCACUUAUGUUUGCUGAUGAUAUUU